CUCGGCGGCUGUCCGAAUGCCUCCUGGUACCCCGGCGGCGAGCGCCACCGGGAGCGCCCUCCGACCCCACAGUCUCAGAGUGUCCUGCGCUGCGGACCCAGGACGCCCACGCAGGGCCCCUUAAGGACAGGACAGUGGCUCUAAGGUGCCUCCUGCAGGGGUGAGUGUGGGCGUUUGGGCCCGCAGAUAGCCAGCUACCAGGAGAAUGCGAGGGAGAUCCUUACUCCACCUGACUUCCGGCUUAAUGCCCCAUUCCAUCCCCUUUCCCUGUUUCCAUUUUCUUCCAUAGCACUUCCUUUUUACAAAAUCAACUUGCGUGAAGUAUAGUUGACAUAGAAUUAAAUUUGCCCUUCUGAACAUGUAUAUUUGCCGUAUAUAACCUCCACCCCAAUCAACAUAUGGAACAUUUCCAUCAUUCAAAAAGUUCCCUCAGAUAGCGCUUACCUUAAACAAACUAUAACUUAAUUCCUUAUUCUAUCUAUUUAUUCUGUCUCUUCCAUGGCCCCUAGAAUGUAGGCUCCUGGAGGCAGAAUCUUUGUUUUGUACACUGAAGUUCUCAAGUUCACAGUGCCAGGGGAAUAGUAGCUAUUGGACACACAUUUGUUGAAUAAAUAAACUCCAACACAUGAGACAAUCAAACGGAAAAUGAAAUAUUAUCAAACCACUAGAAAAAAGUAAAAGCAAAUGCUGUAGGUUGAAUUGUGUCCCACCAAAGGACGUUGAGUCCUAACCCCCAGGGCUUGUGAAUGUGAGCUUCUGUGGAAACGGGGUCUUUGCAGAUGAUCAAGUUAAGAUGAGGUCGUUAGAGUGGACCCUAAUCCGCUACGCCAGCUGUCCUUAUAAAAUGGAGAGAUUUGGGCACAAACACACAAGGAGAACGCCAUGUGAAGACAGAAGCAGAGAUCAGAUUAGGGUGAUGCAUCUGCAAGCUGGGGAGAGAGGCAUGAGCAGAUGCUCCCUCGCAGCCCUCAGAAGGAGCCAGCCCUGUGGAAACCUUGAUCUCAGACUUGCAGCUUCCAGAACCGCAGACAAUUCCGCGUUGCAGCAAACCUUCAAAAAACCACCACUCAGUGAGUGUUGGUGUUGUAUCAAAGAAGAGUGUCCACAACUAUCCAAAAAGGCCGUUAAAAUUCUCCUUCCUUUUCCAAUUACUCAUCUGUGUGAGGCUGGAUCUUCUUCACAUACUUCACCCAAAACAAGACACCCCAGUGGAGUGAAGGCAGAGGCAGACAUGAGACCCAGCUGUCUUGUGUCAAAAGCAACAUGAAAGAGAUUUUCGCAGAUGGAGAACACUGCCACUCUUAUCACUGACUUGGUGGCUUGAAGAUACAGUCACACACUGAAUUUAUUAUUACCAUUGUACCUUCUCAGGUUAAAUUUCUAGUAUUGUAAAUAUUGAUAAGUAUAAUCUACAUGACUAAAGGCUCUUUGAGCUACUCAAUAAUUUCAGGAGGGUAAAGGAGUUUUGAGACCAAGAAAUUUGAGAACCAUUGGACUAAGGAAUAUAAAUAUUAAAACUCAGGACCCACUGGAUAACACUCUCUGAAUUCUCACAAUGACUCUAUGAGGUGGGUGCCCUUAUUAUCUCCAUUUACCAGAUGAAAUACUGAGGAACAGAGAGGGGAAGUAAUUGCCCAACUCACAGAGCUAGUAAAUGCCAGAGCCAGGAUUUGAACCCAGUUAUCUGACCCCAAGCUUGUGCACUUCCUUGGGGACAAUUUGGCAACAGGUUUAAAAAGCCUUUAAAAAUAUUAGCUUUCUGGGGCUGGCCCCGUGGCCGAGUGGUUAAGUUUGCGCGCUCCGCUGCAGGCGGCCCAGUGUUUCGUCGGUUCGAAUCCUGGGCGCGGACAUGGCACUGCUCAUCAGACCACGCUGAGGCGGCGUCCCACAUGCCACAACUAGAAGAACCCACAACGAAGAAUACACAACUAUGUACCGGGGGGCUUUGGGGAGAAAAAGGAAAAAAUAAAAUCUUAUUAAAAAUAUUAGCCUUCUUCGACCCCUUUUAGGAAUUUCAAGGAAGGGAAUAAUCAGCAAUGUCAGAGAGUUAUACAUAAAGAUAUUUAUAACAU
ensembl:lncRNA